GUGUGCCUGCAAUGUAACAUUGGAUUUCAGCAAUAUUAUUGGUUCUGCAUACAAGGAUACUACCAAAUGGAGUUGAAAUUGCAGCUGCGUUGAGUUUGGUGACAUUUGCAAAGGAUUGGUUGAAAGAACAGAGUCACAAUACAGGAAAAUGUUGUUCUCCUGUUUUUGACUGCAUCCUUGCGCCGUCGUUACAACCGAUUUCCAAAGGCUAAACCUUGAAAUCAAAUGUAAUUUUGAAGCCAUUCUUGAUUAUUUUGCCAGCUGCGGUACAUGAUCAGAACUAAGGCGACAAUGGCCAGACUAUCACAACAAGACUUGGAUGGAAAGGCCUUUCUGCCCCAGCACAACAUAACUCCUGGAGUCAUAUUCGGCCUCCCAAGGUCCUACUAGGGUUGUUCUUUCUAAGGGCGAAGCAUCGCCUGUUGUGCCAAUGCCGGGCAAAAGGAAUAGCUCUCUUGAAGGACAAAAUGCUGUAACUCUCUUCAUAUACAAGAUAGAACCUAUGACUUCAAUUCCGGUGAUAGAAAUAGCCAGAUGGAUCAUGAAAACAUUGUGAAGAUGGUGAGAUAUUGCAAGGAGUCUUAUCCGUUCUGAGGAAUGCUUGUCUUUGAGUACCAGCCAAAUGGGACCCUCUACUAGCAUCUUCACGAUGGGAAAGGAUGUUAACUAUCUUGGCCAUGGCGGGCGAAGAUUGUGCUCAGCAUCGCGCGCAUUCUAAGACACUUCACACUGAGCCGAUGGCUCUGUUCGCGCUCCCCGUGUUGACGGCCAGUUCAGUCUAUUAGUUAUAACAUGGCUUCUUCACUGCAGUUGACAACGAAGACUGCAGGGUGAAAACCCCACAGCAAAUUUAUUGAUUAGUAAAGUCAUAUACAAAAGAUUUGCAAAGGUUAGAGAGUCAUCUAGCUAUAACAGAGAGUCAAUCCAUAUUGCAAACUGUUGUGAGUACUUGGCUUUCACCCUAUGCAAGUGCAGGGUGAUCUCAUGCCUAAAUUUGCUUGUCCAGGAUCUAAAAGAUGGCAACACAUUCUGAAAAAUAGCUUCAUUUGAUCAUUUCUCUGUUUCCAAAUGUGACAGGCAGCCAGAAUAACACUGCUGCUUUGUCAACAUAAAACUCUGCUCAAUGGAGUUACCCUGCUGCCAGUGAAUCUGUAGAUAGUUCCAUAUCCUGAUGCUAAAGUUGCAGCCAAAAAAGAGAUGCAUCCAAUCCUCAGUGCACCUUGUGGGACACAACACACAGUGAAAGACAUUCUCCAAAAAAAAACACGCACAGUGAAAGACAUCAGUGGUAAAGCUGCUGCCUUGUGACCAUGAGGUCAUGGGUUCAAGUCCUGGAAACAGCCUCUUACAGAAAUGUAGGGAAAGGCUGUGUACUAUAGACCCAAAGUGGUCGGACCCUUCCCUGGACCCUGCGCAAGCGGGAGCUACAUGCACCAGGUUGCCCUUUGAAAGACAUCAGUGACAUUCCAGUGUCUUCUGCGAAGCAUGUCUCUGGUAUUUAGUAUAUCACUGAAAAGCAGCCAAGCAUGGUAUUUUCAAUUUAAAUCAUGUAAGUGUGGUUUUUCAUGGAUGUGAUACUCCGUGCUGCAAUCAUUUGGCAAUCAUUCUUGCCAUGAAGAAAUCGUAGAGAUUACAACCUUUGAGAAGGUUAAAGAUACAAUAUGUUCUCCUCGAGUAAAAUUAGUUCUGCGCAUUCUGAAAUAGAAGUUAUGUCUUGCAACUUCUGGUCACUGCUCUUUGCUAUAAGAAUCAUUGGUUGUUCAGGUAAAAAUAAUAAUCAUUGGUUGUAAUGAGCAUUCAUAGGGCAUAUUGUGGUGUUUAAAAUCUGAAUAGUCAGUUGCUCUUUUAUUUCUUUAUUGCAGCUACCAUCCCAUAUUAAAUCCCUUUGCAUGUAUUGACUAUUUGUUCUGGAUUCUGGUCAAAACAAAAACAUUAAUGUUGAAAACUAAAUAUGCAAUUUUGACUGUAAGAAAUUUAACUAAUGUCAUUUGUAUUUCAAUCAAAUAACUUAAUAAUGGUUUAAGCUCUGGACUGCUGCUUUUGCCCGCAAAAGAUUAAUUUCCCUUUUACAGGUUUUUGUACAGCUGUUGAUUGUGCAAUGCUCAUGCUUUUGUAGAGUGAAAGAUAGAAUCUUGCCAUUUCCGUUGGAUUUCAUGAAUUUUUGCAGAUGUGUGGGUAGAAGAAAUCCAAAAGGGAAGCACAUAGCGAUCACAUUGGAGCCCUCAUUGUCGUCGAUGGAAACACUGAAGCGUCGAUGGAAACACUGAAGCGAGGUUUCAUACUUAUAAUUUGUACUCCCUCCGUCCCAAAAUUCAUGUCGCAGUGGUCAUUUUGCAAUUUACUCCUCAGCUUUUUCCCGACCAAACCCGAAGUCCCUCUGUGUAGUCGCUCUCUUCCUCCUUCUCCGACUGGCCGGCGCUGCCUGCGCCGCUCCCCUCCGCGCAGCUCCACGCCGCUUGCGCCUCCUCUCCCUCCCUCGCGGUUCCUCUCCCUCCCCAGCACAGGCGCCCUCUCCCUUGUGUGCGUCACCGGCGCUCUCUUCCUCUCGCAUGUCCCUCCGCAUUGGUGAAAAUGCGAUUUUCCCCUUCGGCACUCCGAUCUGCAGCGGCCGUGCUCAAACUGCGGUGGGGACUACCAAGACGGCGCGACGGAGCUGCUUUUGUCGGUCGCCUGCACGGGGCUCCUGCUGCCGGUCGUCAGGUGAGGAGCGCGUCUCCUGCAGCUGCGACUACCUGGCCACGCAGCAGCGGCGGCGGGAUGGUGGCGUCAAGGGGGCUCCUCCGUCCGCUCUAGGACUCCACUCCGCCAAAGGGGGCGAGCUCCUCCGUCCGCUCUAGGACUCCACCGCCAUGGGGGCACGCCCUUGCAUCCGGGAGGUGCUCGAGCUUGUCAAAGCAGGCAAGAAUCUGAAGGACUUAUUGGAUCAUGGAGCAAGGGAUAAGUACAUAUUCUUCUUGCACAAGCAACAACAUGAUGAAGAGAUUACAACAACAACAGUCGCUACAGAUCAAUCGACAGGGGAAGAACAGCAGAAGACCAGAGAUUAUUGUACCUUCUUCUUCAGAGAAGAUCAGCAGCGAAGAACAGCAGGUCAGCACGAGCAUGAGCUCCACCGGCAAGCAUGCAGCGUGGGCGAGCGUGCACGCACCCGAGCGUGGGUGAUACUCCAAUGGCAGCGGCGCCGGUUUUUGGUCACCGGAGGAGCUACUGACGAGCUCCAAUGGCAGCAAGCGGCAGACCACCACGGCCAGGAGAACCAGCAACCAAUUGACAGGGGAAAAGUGACCUGGAGGACCCGAAGAUCACCCUGAAGCUGUUGAGCCGCUCGGGGAAACCAGAGGAGGAGCGAUGGCGUUGAGCUCGUGUGCAGAUUCGGCGGCCGGAAUGGGAGGAGACGGUAUCGAUUUCGUCGAUCAGGGGCUUCCCAGCAAGCAUGGCUCAAGGAGGGCGUAGGUAUCGGCAAGGCGGAGCUCCUGAUAUGCUCGGGAAGGACUGAGGAGGUGCGACGGCGCCGAGCCCCUGUGCGGACGCCGCUGUCGGAGGGGGAGGAGACGGGCUCGUUUUUGGAGUGGGGACAGCUCCUGUGCGGAAGCAGCAGCCGACAGCAAGGGAGAAUCUGCAGGUUAAGAUGCAGCAGCGGUAGGAGCUCCACCGGCAGCAGCGACAGGAGCUCCACCGGCCUGGAGCCCGGCCAGCGACAGGAUCUUCCCCCGACCUGAGCCUGCGUGCGGGUUGCUUUGAGAUAAUUUGAAGUUGCAGAAGGGUGUUUUUGUAAAAAAAUGCGGUAGUUCAAAAUUGAAACCCCCUACGACAUGAAUUUCAGGACGGAGGGAGUAUAUAGCUGCAAUGAUUUUGAAUUUGUAAUGACCCGAUAAAUCACGGGUGGACAUGCGGCCAUGUGAGGAUGGUAUCUCAUCCGUUCGUUGCACAAAGAUCAAUGCAAUAAUUAUACAACGAG
rnacentral:rRNA from 1 species